rnacentral:rRNA from 1 species
CCCUUAGAUGUUCUGGGCCGCACGCGCGCUACACUGACGAAUGCAACGAGCUUAUAACCUUGGCCGAAAGGUCUGGGUAAUCUCCAAAUUUCGUCGUGAUGGGGAUAGAUUAUUGCAAUUAUUAAUCUUCAACGAGGAAUGCCUAGUAAGCGCAAGUCAUCAGCUUGCGUUGAUUACGUCCCUGCCCUUUGUACAAACCGCCCGUCGCUCCUACCGAUUGAAUGGUCCGGUGAAGCGUUCGGACCGUGGCCUUUGGACGGUUCGCCGUCUGUUGGCUGCGGGAAGUUCGUUAAACCUUAUCAUUUAGAGGAAGGAGAAGUCGUAACA